UACGUAGGUGGCAAGCGUUGUCCGGAUUUAUUGGGUUUAAAGGGUGCGUAGGCGGCUUUGUAAGUCAGUGGUGAAAUAUGGCAGCUUAACUGUCAAGGUGCCAUUGAUACUGCGGAGCUUGAGUACAGAUGAGGUAGGCGGAAUUGACGGUGUAGCGGUGAAAUGCGCAGAUAUCGGGAAGAACACCCGUGGCGAAGGCGGCUCUCUGGGACGGUACUGACGCUGAGACGCGAAAGCGUGGGGAGCGAACAGG
rnacentral:rRNA from 1 species